UAUAACUAACUGGACAACCUGGGUGAAAUAGAGAUAUUUUUAGAAAAAUACAAUCUUCCAAAGUUCAAUCAGGAAGAAUCAGAAAACCUGAAUAGGCUGAUAACUAUUGAUGAAAUUGAAGCAUGGAACAGUCUUUU